CCUACGGGGGGCUGCAGUGGGGAAUAUUGGACAAUGGGGGCAACCCUGAUCCAGCCAUGCCGCGUGUGUGAAGAAGGCCCUCGGGUUGUAAAGCACUUUCAGUGAGGAAGAACGCCUGGUGGUUAAUACCCAUCAGGAAAGACAUCACUCACAGAAGAAGCACCGGCUAACUCCGUGCCAGCAGCCGCGGUAAUACGGAGGGUGCGAGCGUUAAUCGGAAUUACUGGGCGUAAAGCGCGCGUAGGUGGCUUGAUAAGCCGGUUGUGAAAGCCCCGGGCUCAACCUGGGAACGGCAUCCGGAACUGUCAAGCUAGAGUGCAGGAGAGGAAGGUAGAAUUCCCGGUGUAGCGGUGAAAUGCGUAGAGAUCGGGAGGAAUACCAGUGGCGAAGGCGGCCUUCUGGACUGACACUGACACUGAGGUGCGAAAGCGUGGGUAGCAAACAGGAUUAGAUACCUUAGUAGUC
rnacentral:rRNA from 1 species